rnacentral:rRNA from 1 species
GAUGAACGCUGGCGGCGUGCUUAACACAUGCGAGUCGAACGGGAAACCUUUUAUUGAAGCUUCGGCAGAUUUAGCUGGUUUCUAGUGGCGGACGGGUGAGUAACGCGUGGGUAACCUGCCCUAUACAGGGGGAUAACAACCAGAAAUGGUUGCUAAUACCGCAUAAGCGCACAGGGCCGCAUGGUCCGGUGUGAAAAACUCCGGUGGUAUAGGAUGGACCCGCGUUGGAUUAGCCAGUUGGCAGGGUAACGGCCUACCAAAGCGACGAUCCAUAGCCGGCCUGAGAGGGUGAACGGCCACAUUGGGACUGAGACACGGCCCAGACUCCUACGGGAGGCAGCAGUGGGGAAUAUUGCACAAUGGGGGAAACCCUGAUGCAGCGACGCCGCGUGAAGGAAGAAGUAUCUCGGUAUGUAAACUUCUAUCAGCAGGGAAGAUAGUGACGGUACCUGACUAAGAAGCCCCGGCUAACUACGUG